rnacentral:misc_RNA from 1 species
AACGCACCUUGCACCCUUUGGUAUUCCGAAGGGUACACCCGUUUGAGUGUCAUUGUAAUCUCACCCCCUUGACUUUUUUGUUGAUCGGUGUGGACUUGGAUGUUGCCGUGUAACAAACGGCUCGUCUGAAAUGCCUGAGUGUACCCUGCUUUGCGGCGUAUUCGGUGUGAUAAAUCUUUACCGGAGUUGACUUUUUCGAGUCGCGCUUGUACCUGUGGGCUCUAUGCUUCCAAACAAUCCUGACAAGGACAAUCUUUGACAAUUUGACCUCAAAUCGGGUGGGACUACCCGCUGAACUUAA